rnacentral:lncRNA from 1 species
AGGCGGAGACACAAGGCUCCGUUCCACUGGGCACGCCAGCGGGUAGGGGUGGGGGCGGGGAGGUGCGCGCGCAGCGUGGGAGGAGGCCAACUCUCGGGGCGCUCCCUAGCCCUGGGUGGGUGGAGCGGGGGAAGCGGAGUACGUUGGACCCGGCUCCGCCCUACCCCACGGGGCCGCCUGGAGAGGUGCUGGGAGCUGGGUGGAGCUUAGAGGAAUUAAACUUUGGCCCUGCGCCUCGUCCAGCCUAGGUUCCACCCUUUUCUGGGAACGUGAGUAUCAACCAAGAAUGAAUCUCGCUGUGUUGUCCAGGCUGGAGUGCAGUGGCACCAUCUCGGCUCACUGCAACCUCUGGCUCCCAGGUUCAAGCGAUUCUCCUGCCUCAGCCCCCUGAGUAGCUGGGAUUACAGGCACGCGCCACCACUCCCAGAUCUUCACUUCAGGUCAGCUCCAAGGAGGCUAUCCUUGCCCAUCUUCCUAAAAUAGAGCUCUCAAAACCUGGCUGUUUUCCUUCAGAGCACUGGCCUCCAAUUGCUCCGGUAGAUUGCAAAUGACCUGCUUUCUUUCUGUUCCCGGGCGUUUGGACCCCUGUCUUGGACCGCUGUCGGAUAGUAAAUCCCAAGUAAGGUACCUGCCGUCGGCAGAUUUGAGCUUUCUUCUUGGACACCUAAUACCCAGAGUCCUCCAGGCUCCGGUAGAUUGCAAAUGACCUGCUUUCUUUCUGUUCCCGGGCGGCAUCGGACCCGUCGGAGAGUAAAUCCCAAGUAAGGUACCUGCCGUUGGCAGAUUUGAGCUUUCUUCUUGGACACCUAAUACCCACAGUCCUCCAGGUGAGUCCUAAGUAUCUUAGGAUCCGCGAUGGGGGUCCUAAGGCAGGGGGGGAAGAGGGGAUGGCUGUCACCCAACCCAAAAUGGGCGGCCUUUAUGUUCAGGUUUUGCCCAAGAGUCAGCUUAUUUGCUUCUUGUACUAUCAGGGCAGUUGAUGCCACGGCCCUCAAACAGGGGGGCCAUCCUUUAGAAACCCUCUCUAGUUGUUUAGAGACGUAGGACAUUGGCCUCAUCCAGGGCCCCAGAGUUUCGGUUAAAAGUCCAGCUGCCAUCUUUUCUCUAUCUGACGCGUUCAACGGAAAAGGCUUUGUCAGAUCGGGUAGCCCCAGGGCUGGGGCUGCCAGAAGUUUUUCCUUUAACUCAUGAAAGACUUGCUGUUGUUGGGAUCCCUAUUCCAAAGGUUCCCGGUCCCCGCCCCCUUUGUGACCUCAUACAAAGGCUUGGCUAACACUGCAAAGUUUGGGAUGCACAGUCUAUAAAACCCCACAGCCCCUGAGAAUUCCCUCACCUGCCUUCUGCCCUUAGGCUCCGGUAGAUUGCAAAUGACCUGCUUUCUUUCUGUUCCCGGGCUGCGUUCGGACCCCUGUCGGAUAGUAACUCCCAAGUAAGGUACCUGCCGUCGGCAGAUUGGAGCUUUCUUCUUGGAGACCUAAUACCCACAGUCCUCCAGAAAAACAAACAAAGACAUGGAUUUACUGUGCAUAUUAGCAGAUCCAUACUGGAAAAUGCAUGGAGGUUUCAUAUACACCACUUACAGUUUUCAGCUCCUCAGUAGUGACAAAGCCAUACCCAUCAUUGUCGAUUCGAUCAACAAUCUUCCCUAGCCUCUCCUUGCUCUCGUCCGGGGUGAGCUCGUCGAAGUUCUUGGAGUCCUCCUUGCCCAGGAAGGCCUCGUGGUCGUACUGGAAGCUCUGGUUGUCCUCAGGGGGCCGCUCGCCCAGCUCCGAGUCGGGCCGCACCACGCGCUCUUUGCGCACCGUGGGCUUGGCCCGCAGAACCCGCGGCGCCAGCACCAGCGCCAGCAGCAGCCCCAGGGCUAACCCCAGGCGGCCACCGCGCGCCAUCGUCCCGAGGAGAGGGCGGCCGGGAGGGAGACGCUGAGCGAGCGACAACAGCGGCAGCUCGGGAAUGGGGGCUCGGAGCGCGGCGGCCAAGUUUUAUGUUAUGUAUAUUUUACAAGUAAAAAAAUUUUUUCACCUCAGCCUGA